rnacentral:snoRNA from 1 species
AUACAGAUGAUGGAAAACUCACUAUUUGGAAAAGAAUGGCAUGAACAAAGGAAUCACUGAUGCAC